UGUCGUCUAUGUCGAAAAAUUGUUCUUGCAAAAGGUGGAAAUACCACGAAUUUAAGAAGUCAUCUGAGACGUCGACAUCGUGCUGAUUUUUUCGAGACUCCUUCUUCCACGACCUCUGGAUCUUUGUGUGAGCCUCAAGCUGAUGGAGCUAACAGCUAACACUAUGAAUGCAGACCUGAAAGAUUCUUUUGAAAAACCGGAUUUGUUUAAAGAGGAGAUCAUUCUGAAAGAAGAAGAUGAGUCACAAGAAGAGGAAGAGUGCGAGUUAAAUCCUGCUGACAUUUCUAGACAUGUCAUGGUGUCCAACUUGGAACUGGAUGAACUUGAAGACAGUAGGAGCGAAAUAAGUAUGCUUACAAAGAAGCAGACGACGUGGGCUGUGAAUUGCUUCACUGGCUGGUUGGAGGCCCAGGGGCUGCAGCCGGACAUGGCUACAAUGGAGAAGACCGAGCUGAACGCGGUGCUGAGACACUUUUACGGAUCAGUACGAAACAGCAAAGGAGAGCUGUAUGGGAUUUCUAGUUACAUUGCGCUUAGAGCUGGACUUAACCGUUACUUCAAAGAUCCUCCUGUCAGUCGCCCCGUGAGCUUAAUGAGAGAUGCUGAGUUCACCUCAGCCAACAAGGUGUUCUUGGGAGUGCUCAAGAGAAUUAGGAAGUCCGGUCGAGACAUAACUUUACACCAUCCGGCACUGUCCCCUGAUGAUAUCCGCAUCCUCAGACGCUCUCGUGCGAUGGACCCCAGCACUCCAAAGGGUCUCCUAGGCAAAGUCUGGUUUGAUAUUCAGGUACAUUUCGGCCGCAGAGGGAAGGAGGCCAACAGGAAUCUAAAGCCAGACUCAUUUGUAAUCAGGAAAGACGAGAGAGGACUCAGAUACUGCACUUUAUACUUUGGCGACGACGCAAAAGCUCGUAUUGAGAAGGACCGAUGCUCUAUGUUCGAGAAGCCGGGCAGUGAAUUCUGUCCUAUUACUUCUCUUUUGGAGUACAUCAGCAAGCUCCCGUCCAACGCAACUGCCCUUUACUUGCAGCCUAAGAAGGAUCUUACAGAUGAGAUUUGGUACAGCCUCGUCCCCCUAGGAGUCAAUUAUCUGGGCUCAAUGUUGUCUCGCAUGUCUAAAGAAUCCCGCACGUCAGUCAUCUACACCAAUCACUGCAUCAGGAGCACACCCUUUCACCAACUGUGUGAUGCAGGAAUGGAGGCAAGAGAAAUUAUUCCUGUCAGCGUGCACAGGUCAGAAAGCUCCCUCCGAAGUCACCAGACGCCAUGCCUCGGAAGCCAGAAGCCGCAGAGAAAGAUAUUACCAAAGAUCGUUUCAGCUGGCCCAGCAGGUUUGGAUUUAAACCAUGAAGAAUUCUUCGAGGAUUUCCCAUUUCUCCACAGUGCUUCAGACUCGAACUACGUCCCAGACGCUGCGCUGCCUCCCGGAGAGCCGUGGCUCCACGGCGGCCCCUCCCGGGCGGCGCUAUCCCUGCCCUCCUGCCUGUGCCUGUGCGAGGACGUUGGCUCUGGGAUGUCUGGUCCUGGGUCUUCUGGCGAAGAGCAGAUGGAAGAGAUAAAAGUGUACGCCAAGUGUCACCUUCAGAAGGGCGUCAUGUUUGGACCGUUUGUAGGAGAAGUGUGCAGAGGACAAAUGCCGACCAACCUUAAAUACGCCUGGGCUAUCCGGGAUGAGGCUGCUUUUGUCUACAUCGAUGGUUCUGAUGAAUGCAAAUCUAACUGGAUGAGGUAUGUAACAUACACCAGCAGUGAGGAGGAACACAACCUGGUCAUCUUCCAGUUCUAUCGCCACAUCUACUACAGGGUUACCCAGACCAUCACAGAGGGAGCAGAACUCAGGGUCUGGAUUGGCAAGGAUUAUGCAACCCUGCUAGGUCUCAGGAUGGGUGACAACGUGAAAUGUGAAGUUGGAGACAAAGAGACAGUUCUGCGCCUGCUGCAAGACAUCCAAUUGGUCACUUUACCAGAGCCCAGCAGCUCCUCCUUUUGGUCAGACCACAUCCAAUCACAGAGCCCCAUGCUUGUCAUCAGUGAUGUGACGACGAUGUCAAACCACGACGCAGCCAGUGAUUCCGGCAUGAUUUGUGGCUCCUCCCAGAUCCCUCUCCCGUCCCCUGGCUCACAUUCAUUUGAAAAGGCAUACGAUUUUAUGCCUGGAACUGAGAAACUGCUAAGUAACCCAAACGCCACACAGAACAGCCCGUGGUACUUUUUCGGGUUGGAGCCGGACCCUACCGGUCGGCCUCUGGACCGGAGCACCGCGGUGUGUAAGCUGUGUGCGGAACAUGUGGGCUGCGGAGGAGGAACAGCAGAUCUCCAAAACCACCUGACCAUCAAGCACCACAUCAAAACACGUGACACUAACAAGGAUCGGAGUCUUCCGACAAUAGGUCAACUGCGUACGCAGCCAUUGAUGGUUAACAGCUGUCUGGCCAACAUACUCCCCCUGGUAUUGCCCGCUCAUGUGACCAAUGCCAUCGUCAACUUUCUCAUCAAGGAUCUCCAGCCCCCAGCGCUGGUGGAAGGGGACGGCUUCAAACAGUUGAUGCACACCCUGCUGCCCACCUACAAGGAGCUGCUUUCACCUCGUCAGCUCGAGAACCUCCUGAAAGAACAUCACACCAAAGGCAAGACGAGCCUGGCUCUGCUGCUGAGGAGCCAAAUGCGAAGCGGCGAAAACGAGGAGAUGUCAGACUACACUGCUCCCAUCGAGUUUGAGUCCAGGAGACGUGGGCGACCUCUCAGCCAUCGGAGGGAAGUGCCUCACUUUGUCACUUUAAGUGUGGAUGUUUGGUUCCACAACUGGCAGGGCAACCCUGAGAGGUACCUCACCCUCUGGGCGCAUUACAUAGACUGUCAUUUUAGUUUUCAGAACCUGGCUCUGGCAACCCAAAGGUUGACGGAGAGCGGGGUGAAAGAGUACAGCCUUGGAGCAGUGGAGGCUCAGGUGAAAGUGAUGGCCCAGGAGUGGGGAAUCUCCCAGCCUAAUCUGGUCCUGCUGGGAGGGAAGGUAAGGAACAAGAUUAGGCUGGGGCCAGCGCAGUGUGAGAAAGGUGGAGAGGCUGCAGGGAGCGUUCCUCACCCGAACUCAACAACAUUUCUCGAGAGGGAGGACUCCGUGUCACCCGAGGAACCGCACGGCCAUUCUAUUGAAGGACUUCCAUCUGUGCCGUGUUUCUUCAGCGCCGUGCAAGGCUGCAUCGAGGAAGUGAUGUCACACUCCGUCAUCUCCAAGACCCUCGGCCAAUUCCAGGUUAUUCUCGCAACCCUGUUCCUGCCACCUGCUCAAAACAGAGGCUCGUUGGAGCACCACGGCCACAGUCUGUCGAAGACCCUGACGAAAGCAGAACAUGCAGAGCUGAAGUCGUGGGCUCACAGCCGGCCGACGUGGAACAAGCUGUACCCUCUGCUGAGCACGCUCGUCAAACAUAAAAGCCUUUUCUGUGAUACGAUGAAAGGGAUUAAAGGCGAGGGUUUGUCUAAAGAAGACACGGGUUCAGAAUCCAGUUCGCCUGGCAGCUGCCACGCCAACUCCACCUCCAACACGUCCUCUUUGCGAUCUGAAUGGAAGGUUCUGGAGGAGCUGUGUUUGGUCCUCAAACCUCUGGACGUGGCGUGUCGGACACUCGCCAAGGAGGCGUUCCCCCGUCUGUCCCUUGUCAAGCCCAUCCUCACGGGCCUGCUCUCCCGCCACCUGGUGUCGCGGCCGGGUGAAUCGUCAGCCGUCCUGAAGGAAGUGAAGAGGAUGAUGAGACGGAACUUGGCGAGCUGUUACGACAACCCUAUCGUCAACAGGGUUCUGUGUGUGGCGUGUUCCCUCGACCCCCAGUUCCAUGGGCUGGGCUUCAUGGAGGACAAGGAGCAGACAGCCACUUUUGAAUGGCUGAAGAAAGAAGCUGUCAGGAUUGUGAAGGAGGACAGGAGGAGGAGCCACGGUAAGAAGCAAAGCCAGUGCAAGAGAAGCCCCUCACCUGGGUCACCAGAGUCAGAGUGUGACUUCCUGCGGAGGAGCAAGCGCCUCAAAGAAUCCCGUCCGAUCAACUUCAGAGAGAUGGAAUAUGAAGAAGAAGAGAGUGACGCAGGAGAGGCUGAUGAGAGCGAGUGUGCAGACCCGGGCCCUCAGAGCGGACUCUCUGGUAUGGAGUUUCUCCUGGGAGACCUGUUCUGCUCUUCCCCCAAGAGCAGGCAGAGCUCCGUGGAGGAGUCUAUAGAGAUGGAGAUGUCUGUCUACAGAGCCGACAAGGGGGCUUCGCUGGGAGUGGAGCCCCUGCAGUGGUGGAGGACGAAGGCAGGGCAAUUUCCACUGUUGGCCACAGCAGCAAGGGCCUACCUGGCUGCCCCCGCAGUGGCAGGUAGCGCUGCACAGGACUUUGCUCAGGAAGGAGCGGGAGCCGCAUACAGGAAGAGAUCCAACAUUCCACCAGAGAGUUUGGACUCAAUCUUGUUUCUGCACCACAACCACAUGCGCACCACUGAGAGUGGGCGAACAGCAGUCAGGAACGACGACAGGAUCGAAAAGGUCCUAUAAACACACAUACCACAUUCAAAACUUUUUCACAAGCUCUCAAUUUAACAAUCUCAGCUACAUGUGUAACUCUUACCCUCUUUAUUAAGCAAAGUCACUGACUUGCAAAGAUUCAAGAUGCAAUAUUACUCAAAAAGUAACAGUGGUGUGAUAUUUAAAAAUGUUAUUUCCUGAAGGCUAAAGAGAAAAAAGAGACAAAGAAAAUCUGUUUUGUACUGUGUCUAGUUUGGAUGGUUAUUCCUCUGAUCUACAUGUAACUUGUAUUAAGUACCUUGUAGCGCCUCGUGCCUUACCACUUUGGAUACAAUUAUACCCGUAAUGCAAAUUUCUAGUACAAGUGUGUAGAUUGAGACAUAGAUGAAAGUCCUCCAUGGUAGCAUUGUGUAAAACUGCUCCCGUGUGCCUUUUGCUUUUUCAUUAAGACUUAUUUUUUAAUUUAUGAAUCAGUAUAUUAUGAAAGACGACUCCAAAGACCAAAUAUUAUGCUGCAUUUCCACCGAAUGGUCGAUCGAGGUUCCGAUACUAAAAGGUGAAGUUAAAACACUGCAGACCACUGAUUGGUAAAAGAAAAUCGUGACACGGGACAUCCUGCACAAACGCGCCAUUUUUAAAUAGCCAAGCUACCGUCGGUAGUGACUGCAAUUUGUUUUUAUUCAUCACUAGACUUAAAAAAAUGUCAGCUUGCAAAACUACGGCGUACAAUUGACUAAGUGCAGACGUUCGUCUGUUUGGUUGCCGAUGAAAGGAUUCGGAGAGUGUUGAAGAUGAAGUCACUACGUUCAGCUGAGAAUGACGCCCACACUGAGGAGGUACUCUGCAGUGGAAAACGAAAUAGAGAAAAGGACCAGAUUCCACCGCGCCCAAAUGAAAACGACCAAUCAGAGCCGAGGAGUCUCUAACGCAGUGUCAAUGAUGUGCCUUCACUGCUCUUCAACUCUGAUCAAAUAUGAAUCAAGAAUAUGUUACGGCAUUGCCUUUUUCUCGACUCAAAUGUUUUCAAAAACAUAUUUUAGCGUACUGUUACUGUGAAAUGAGAACGUUUGUGACCCGUCCGCCAUGUUGAAAACAGUCGAGUCAAAACCAAGCCCCGCCCACCGGCUGGCUGACUUCCUUCGGUGCUUUGGAGAUGGAGGAACAUGAUUUUUUCACAGAUUGUCUGUUUCAUGCACUACUGUCAUGGCAUAGUGACGGUUUGAGCAAAUAUCACAAAAGGUUAUUUUUACUAAAGUUACCAACUGUAGCUUAAACGCAAUGAAUGGAGCUUAUUAGAAAAAUGUCUGUAUUGUUGUAGACUGUGAUGUUCUUGAAGUCUUCGACUGUUCACGUAUGUGCAGAAAAACUGUCUUUUCUUUAAGGUGUCUCACUGUAAUCUAAAUAUACCUGUCCAUUUACCUGUACUUUUAAAACAAAUAAAAUAUAUGACCAUGAA